rnacentral:rRNA from 1 species
AUGCAGUCGAACGGGCUCUUCGGAGCGAGUGGCGGACGGGUGAGUAACGCGUGAGAAUGUGCCCUGAGGAUGGGGAUAACAAUAGGAAACUAAUGCUAAGACCCAAUGUGCCUUAAGUGGUGAAAAAUGAAAAUUGCCUGAAGAGGAGCUCGCGUCUGAUUAGCUAGUUGGGGUGGUAAAAGCGCACCAAGGCGACGAUCAGUAGCUGGUCUGAGAGGAUGAGCAGCCACACUGGGACUGAGACACGGCCCAGACUCCUACGGGAGGCAGCAGUGGGGAAUUUUCCGCAAUGGGCGAAAGCCUGACGGAGCAAUACCGCGUGAGGGAGGAAGGCUCUUGGGUUGUAAACCUCAAAACUUAGGGAAGAAAAAAGUGACGGUACCUAAUUUAAGCAUCGGCUAACUCCGUGCCAGCAGCCGCGGUAAUACG